rnacentral:piRNA from 1 species
UAACAAGAUGGUGAUAACUUGCUUCCUGG